rnacentral:lncRNA from 1 species
CCCCCCCCCCCCCCCCCCCCCCCCCCCCCCCCCCCCCCCCCCCCCCCCCCCCCCCGCUCUUCCGAUCUGUCAGACCCCAGCUCUGUACCUGGCAGCCCCCCUAGCCGGACAUGAGCUAGAGGAAAUGACACAAGCUACCUAAAGCCAUAAAACCCCCUGUUACCCCUGAAUAAACGCCAUAUCGGAAGAGCGGCCCCCCCCCCCCCCCCCCCCCCCCCCCCCCCCCCCCCCCCCCCCCCCCCC